CGAUGAUACGCGAAAACCUUACCUGGGCUUGAACUGUGCAUGACAGGCGUAGAGAUACGCUCGUCCCUUCGGGCAUGUAUAGAGGUGCUGCAUGGUUGUCGUCAGCUCGUGUCGUGAGAUGUUGGGUUAAGUCCCGCAACGAGCGCAACCCCUACUCUCUGUUGCUAUCAGGUAAUGCUGGGCACUCUGAGGGAACUGCCGGUGACAAACCGGAGGAAGUGGGACGACGUCAAAUCAUCAUGCCCCUUAUGUUCUGGGCUACACACGUGCUACAAUGGCCGGUACAGACGGAGGCGGAGCCGCGAGGCGGAGCAAAUCCGAAAAAGCCGGUCUCAGUUCGGAUUGCAGGCUGCAAUUCGCCUGCAUGAAGUCGGAAUCGCUAGUAAUCGCAGGUCAGCAUACUGCGGUGAAUACGUUCCCGGGCCUU
rnacentral:rRNA from 1 species